CAGCCGCCCCUCCCAGCCCACCAGCUGGCCACUAAAAGCUCCCGGUUGCCAAGCAGGAAAACUUCUCUGCCCAAAGCUUGUCACAGUCUUGUAUUUUCUACCAUCUCUCACUGAAGCGUGGAUUCAACGGAGCAACAGGGAUAUUAGGAUAGAAGCCGGGAAGUAAAGAACUGUGAAAGAGUAAUUUUGCUGGAUAUCCACUUAUUCCAAUUCAGCCAUUUGCAGACAGUAUGAGAAUUCUGGAGGGGUUGUUGACCCCUCUUUGCUCUGGGACAGUGCAAACCUGCCUCUGUUUUAACCACAG